GGUUCUACUGUCUCCUUUCUCUAAUCAGUGAAACUAAUCUCCCCGUGAAGAAGCGGGGAUACUACUAUAAGACGAGAAGACCCCAUGGAGCUUUAAACCCAACUACAGCCCUACUUUCCACACCCACUCAACCAACAGGGCCCUGUACGCUUGGUUUUAGGUUGGGGCGACCACGGAGUAAAAUUAAACCUCCACGAUGAACGGGAAUUCCCUCUUAUCUAAGA
rnacentral:rRNA from 1 species